rnacentral:lncRNA from 1 species
ACAUUUUGCCCCUACACGUUUCAGUCCAAUUCUAUCUAUUUGUUAGGCGGCACUAAAAAAAUUACUAUUAUUUAUAUUUUUAGGGUGGUGUCACCUGGAAAAGUGGCAACACUCAACUCUACUAUAGAAAUCAGGUAAUUCUCAUAAUUAAUCUUGAAAUUGGGUCAUUUUCAUAAUUUUUUAAACUUAUAGUGUUAGAUUCCUAAAAAAACCCAUGUUAUGAGAUAUAGGAGUGUUAUUUCGAUCAUGAAGAUCUAGUUGGUCACUCAAUUUUUAGAAUACUUUCAUUUUGGUCACCCAAAAUAAAAUUCUUGUAAUUUAUCAUUCAAAUUUUAAGAUGCUUUCAUUUUAAUCACCUAAUCGCUAAAUAUCUAACGACAGUUAGACUAUACAUGCCACAUCAUGUUUAUACUUUUAUUUUGAUCACCCAAUUUCAUUUUUUUUCAAUAUUGAAAUUUUAAAUUUAAAAAGCAUAAAAAUCAAUUAAAUAAAUUGUUAAAAGAAUUUUGAUAAUCCAACCGAUUUGUUACUAAAAUAUUGAAAAUAAUUAAAUUAACUAAUUUAAUCUCUUUCUAAAUCGUAAAAUUUUAUUUUAUGUUUCUAUAUUAUUCUUAAUAAAAUCAACUCGAAUAACUCAUAUUUAAUAAUUGUCUAUGAAAAAUAUAAUCUUGAAUCUUUCAAUGCUAAGCUAAAAGCAAAGGAAAAUCCAUUAAUUGCUUGUUUAUCGUUUGGGUAAAAAUGUGAUGAAAAAUUUUAGGUUUUAUUUGGCAUGAAAAAUAAAAUUAAUUAAUUGUAAGGAUUUUUCUUUACUUUUAGCUUAGCAUGAAAAAUUCAAGAUCAUAUAAUCAUUCUGUUAAGAAAUUUUGAACAACCAAAAAGAAUUAAGUGUAAUUAACGAUACCAACAUUGUCCUAAUUCCAGAAGUUCAAAAUCCAAAAAAUAUGGGACAAUUUAGGCCAAUUAGCAUUUACAGUGUAGUUUAUAAAAUAAUCUCAAAAGAUAUAUAGUCAAUAGAUUUAGGAAGGCUCUUGGCUACUACAUUGAUGAUGCACAAGGCACUUUUGUCCUAAAUAGACAGAUUACAGAUAACAUAUUAGUGGCAUAUGAAUUAUUGUACUCUUUUAAGAAGAAAAGAUAUGGAUUGGGUAAUUUUGCUCUAAAACUAGACAUGACCAAAGCAUACGGUAGGAUUAAGUGGAUUUUCGUUGAAAAUAUGAUGAGAAAGCUUGGUUUUGUGACAAGUGGGUACCAUUGAUCAUGUGGUGCAUCAAAAGCGUUUCAUACUCAGUUGUGCUUAAUGGAGGGAAAGGGGUUGGUUUCAGUCCUACUAGAGGAAUAAGGUAAGGAGAUCCCUUAAGCCCAUAUUUAUUUAUCAUUUGUGCUGAGGGUUUUUCAAGACUUCUUAAUAUUGUAAAAAAGGGAAAGAAAAUAUAAGGGGGAAAAAUAGGUAGAGGGGGUGUGUCAAUAACCCACAUUUUUUUCGCUGAUGACAGUAUCUUAUUUGGAAAAGCAACAGUGGAAGGAGCUUUAGCAAUUCGAUCAGUUAUUAAUGCCUAUGAAAAAAUAUCGGGACAGAUGGUGAAUUUUAAAAAGUCAUUAAUUUACUUUAGCAACAAUGUCAACGAUACGGUUAAAUUGCAAAUAGGAAGGGAGUUGGGGGUUCGUAUGACCAACAAUCCGGAGAAAUACCUUGGAUUACUGACAAUGGUGGGGAGGCGAAAGAGAAAUGCUUUUGUGGAAAUAAAUAAUUUUUUUUUGACAAAAGUGAAAAACUGAAGCAUUCGCAAUUUGCCUAUUGGAGGAAAAGAGGUUUUUAUCAAAUCAGUCUUACAAGUCAUUCCAAUCUAUGCUAUGCAAUGUUGCAGAUUACCAAGUUCUUUAUGCCGGGAAUUAGAGAAUAUUAUGUGUAAAUUCUGGUGGUAAAAUUUAAAAACGGAUAAGGGUAUUUACUAGUGUUGGUGGUUGUCAUUAUGUAUCUUAAAGGCGCAAUGGGGGAUGAGAUUUAGAGAUUUAUCAAAUUUUAAUAAUGCCUUGUUGGCAAAGCAAGGAUGGAAGCUAAUCACCAAUCCUACAAGCUUCCUUGUACAAGUAAUGAAAUCUAAAUACUACCCAUGAAGUGACUUUUUGAAUGCCGAACUAGGGGCUUACCCUUCGUUUACCUGGAGAAACAUAUGGAACGCUCGGAGUAUUUUGGAAUCAAGACUGGGUUGAAGAAUCAGAGAGAGUAGAUCAGUUAACAUAUGAAACAAUCCAUGGUUUCCUGAGGAAGGAAAAUUAAAAUUUCAGAAUAUUGAUUAUAGGUACACUUUAGUUGCAGACCUUAUAAAUCAUGAAUAUGUCACCUGAAAGGAGGAAACCUUGAGAGGGUUUUUCCCAGAAGAACAAGCUAGUGAGAUUGGAUCCAUUCCUUUGGGGAACGCUCUGCAACUAGAUAUAAGGUUUUGGUAAGGUGACAGGUUGAGAGAAUACACGGUAAAAAACGGUUACAAAAGGUGUGUCUUAGAAGAUUUAAAUAUGAUGGGAAAUGAAAUUUCAACAGACCAGGAUCUAACUAGAAGUUAUUUUACAAAAAUUUGGAGUCUAAAAAUUCUCAGCAAUGUUCGAAUUAAUCUAUGGGAAAAUGAGUUUGUAAGCUACAUCUUCCGAGACUACAUCCUCGCAAAACAAGUCCUCCAGCAAAUGACACUGACAUUGGUCCCCCGUUCAUGAAAAUCAAGAAUGGAAACAAUGGUUAGCGGAGGCCUUCAAUCUCAAUAAUGCAUAUAAAUGUUCAUGCUUAGCAGUGUCAUUAUAGGCAAUAUGGCAUAACAAGAAUAUAUAUUUCCAUGAAGGCAUCCGACAAAGAACAUGCGAGAUUGUGGCUUAUAUUAAAGCAUACUUAGCGGAUCUUGAUAAGCUAAAGGAAGCACUAAAAUGUCAACAUAACACAGUGAUUACCCAUUGGGAGCCCCCAUCAAAAAGUCAAGUUAAAGUUAAUUUUGAUUCUGCAUUUCUUCAAUAAAGCAACAAAGCAGUAUCGGGAAUUAUCAUCAGAAACUAUACAGGACUUGUAAUAGGUUUGUGUUCUUACCUGAUCCACAACGUUAGAUAUCUAACAAUUUGUUAGAAUUGUGUGACCCAAAUUCUAAGAGAUUGCUUGCAAGUCAAGUUAAACAAAAAUAUAUUUUCUUUCUAGAAGAUUUAGUAUUUAUUAGUAUAAUAUAUUUAGCAUUUAUUAGUAUAGUUUAUUUGACUUACUAAUUUAGCCUAUAAAUAGGCUCCUUUACAAUCUUAGAAUAAAAGAGACACCCAUUAGAUUAGAACUCAUAACACAUUCAGAGAAUUUUGUGUUUACGUUUGAGGGUUCUUUGUUUUUCGAGUUUUCGGGGUUUAGUUUUUAUCUCCAUCUUUUGUACUCUUCAUUCUUUUGCCAUUAUAGUAAAAUUAUCUUUGCCCGUGGUUUUUUAUCCUCUUUUGAGGGGUUUUUCCACGUUAAAUUUGUGUGUUCAUCUUCUCAAUUUCUUCUACUAUUUUUACUUGUUCGUUGCUUAUUCGGGACGAUCCUAACAAGUGGUAUCAGAGCUAGUUUAACUUUCAUAGAUCAGCCCGGUCAGAGAUGGCAGCAACAAGGUUUGAAAUUGAGAAGUUCGAUGGUGAGACAAAUUUCAAUCUGUGGCAAGUUCGGAUGAUGGCAAUUCUAGUUCAAAAUGGCUUGAAAAAGGUUGUUACAGGGAAAAAGCCUGAGAAUCUAAAUCAAACAGAAUGGGAAGAGCUUGAUGAAAACGCCUUGUCUGCAAUCCAGUUGUGCCUCGCGAAUACAGUAUUGCAGGAGGUAUUGAUGGAGAAGACCUCAUUCGCCUUGUGGAAAAGGUUAGAAACUCUUUAUGCGACUAAGUCUCUGGCUAACCGUUUAGUGUUGAAACAACGUCUAUUUACGUUUCGCAUGAACGAAUGUGAGCUUCUUAAAGAUCACAUCAGUCAAUUCAUUACUCUUUUAAAUGAUUUAAAGAACGUUGAGGUUCAUAUUGACGAUGAAGAUCAAGCUAUGCUAUUAUUGUGCUCUUUACCCUCUUCAUACAAGUCUUUCAGGGAGACCCUGAUUUAUGGCAGAGACAAACUCUCGUUCGAAGAUGUGAAGGGUCAUUUGUUGAGUAGAGACAAACUCGACAAUGAGUUUGAUUUGAAUAGCAAAGCAGAUAGACAAGCUUCCGUUUUGGUAGCAUCAAAGAAACGAGACAAAAGGUGUCGCUAUUGCAAAAAGUUAGGUCACGUCAAAGUAGAUUGUUAUAAACUGCGAAAUAAAAGAGCUGCUGAGAGUAACGAGGAAGAUGUAGCUGGUGCUAAUUUGGUCGAUGAAGGCAGUGAUGAUUUCUUGUUAGUGUCAAUGAGCGAUAACUCCAAGCUUACGUCUGAGUGGAUCCUAGAUUCAGGAUGUUCUUUCCACAUGUGUCCCAAUAGAGAAUGGUUCUCCACAUACAGUUCAGUUGAAGGUGGAGUUGUGCACAUGGGAAACGAUUCAUCUAGUAAAAUAAUCGGUAUUGGUACUGUUAAAAUUAGGAUACACAAUGGGACGAUUAGGACACUCUCAGAUGUCAAGUAUGUACCUGAUUUACGAAAGAAUCUCAUCUCCUUGAGUAUUUUAGACUUGAAAGGAUGCAGAAUCAACAUCGAGUCGAGCGACAUUAAAGUAUCUCGUGGAGCUCUCGUUUUGUUAAAAGGUAAAAGAACCGGCAGUCUUUAUAUUCUGGAAGGUUCUACAGUGACCGGUGAAAUCGGACGUCCCUCGUCCGUUACGGAGUCAAAGUCAACUCAUUUGAAGCGGAGGUAACUUGGUCAUAGGAGGGAAAAAGGUAUGACCGUUUCGUUGAAGAGAGGUUCUCUUUUGGAUGCAGGUUUUGAAAAGUUAGGGCACUGUAUUCGUGAAAAUCAGACCCGGGUUAGUUUUGAUAUGGCAGUGCACAAGUCGAAGGCUAGAAGUCUUCCAGCUUCUAAGCAUAGAUUCGACUCAGUUAAUUCCCUGCAUAGUUCAAGAUAGGCCCGUGGCGGGUUUUGGCAAAGAUGGCAUUGAAAGAAUUCGUGUCAAGGUGGAGAUUGUUAGAAUUGUGUGACCCAAAUUCUAAGAGAUUGCUUGCAAGUCAAGUUAAACAAAAAUAUAUUUUCUUUCUAGAAGAUUUAGUAUUUAUUAGUAUAAUAUAUUUAGCAUUUAUUAGUAUAGUUUAUUUGACUUACUAAUUUAGCCUAUAAAUAGGCUCCUUUACAAUCUUAGAAUAAAAGAGACACCCAUUAGAUUAGAACUCAUAACACAUUCAGAGAAUUUUGUGUUUACGUUUGAGGGUUCUUUGUUUUUUGGGUUUUCGGGGUUUAGUUUUUAUCUCCAUCUUUUGUACUCUUCAUUCUUUUGCCAUUAUAGUAAAAUUAUCUUUGCCCGUGGUUUUUUAUCCUCUUUUGAGGGGUUUUUCCACGUUAAAUUUGUGUGUUCAUCUUCUCAAUUUCUUCUACUAUUUUUACUUGUUCGUUGCUUAUUCGGGACGAUCCUAACACAAUUGCUGAAGCGUAUACAUGCCUUAAAGGAGUCGUUUUUGCUGAAGAAAUAGGAUUUAGCGAUGUUAUCAUGGAAGAGGACUCAAGGAUUGUCAUUAAAAAACUGCAAAACCAUGGAAAUGAUAGAUCAACCAUCAGGGGAGUUAUAAACAAAAUAAUAGCAAUGUCAAGAAUUUUCUGGAAUAUUGAGUUCCGGUUCAUACCACGAGAAGCCAACGGAACGGCGUAUGCGAUGGCUGCAAGGGGCAGAGGAAGUAAUUUUUUGACUUUCUAGGUAGAAGAAACUCCAUUAGAGGUUGAACCUAUCAUAGCUAGAUACCAAAGAAGAACUGACUAAUAAAAAAAUAUAUGGAUGUUUGAUGGGCUAACUUCGAAAAAGGAAAAGGGUUAACAAAGCUCAGAGGAACUCAGAAGAUGAUGGACCGGGGGAAUGAAGUCAAGACGAGAACAAAGGAUUUGCUUUAACAGGUCUACCGUUGAAAUGAAUUUUGGCGACGCGACAAAAGGAGAGAAGAACGAGGGAAGGUUAAGUCUUUAGGGCUUUCUUGUUGUGUGUUUUUUUUUAGAAAGUUUGCGUUUUCUUCACCCACAAAAGAGCAAGGGACUGGUUUUAUCUUAGGAAAUGAAAAAUCGAGGCUUCGCCCACACUUUC